GAUGAACGCUGACAGAAUGCUUAACACAUGCAAGUCAACUUGAACUUCGGUUUGGGUGGCGGACGGGUGAGUAACGCGUAAAGAACUUGCCUCACAGAUAGGGACAACAUUUGGAAACGAAUGCUAAUACCUGAUAUUAUGAUUUUAGGGCAUCCUAGGAUUAUGAAAGCUAUAUGCGCUGUGAGAGAGCUUUGCGUCCCAUUAGCUAGUUGGAGAGGUAGCGGCUCACCAAGGCGAUGAUGGGUAGCCGGCCUGAGAGGGUGAUCGGCCACAAGGGGACUGAGACACGGCCCUUACUCCUACGGGAGGCAGCAGUGGGGAAUAUUGGACAAUGGACCAAGAGUCUGAUCCAGCAAUUCUGUGUGCACGAUGAAGUUUUUCGGAAUGUAAAGUGCUUUCAGUUGGGAAGAAAAAAAUGACGGUACCAACAGAAGAAGUGACGGCUAAAUACGUG
rnacentral:rRNA from 1 species